UACAGAGGGGGCAAGCGUUGUUCGGAAUUACUGGGCGUAAAGGGCGCGUAGGCGGCCUUCUAAGUCGAACGUGAAAUCCCCGAGCUCAACUCGGGAACUGCGUCCGAUACUGGCGGGCUUGAAUCCGGGAGAGGGAUGCGGAAUUCCAGGUGUAGCGGUGAAAUUCGUAGAUAUUCGGAAGAACACCAGUGGCGAAGGCGACUGACUGGACAUGUAUUGACGCUGGAGGUGCGAAAGCGUGGGGAGCAAACAGG
rnacentral:rRNA from 1 species